ensembl:lncRNA novel transcript
AGGAUCGCCGGCCGCGCCCGCGCCGCCCGGGCGCACGGAGGAGCACGCCGGCUACGCGCUCGCCCACGCCCGGCCGCCCGCCCGUCCUCUGCGCCGGGGACAAGUCCUUCCACCGAGGCCGGGUCCCCGCGCCUUCCCUAGCGCCCUGCCUCUCUUUGGCCGCGCUCGCAGGACCGCCUGUAGGAGAGUGAAGCCCCAGGGUUUCCUUGCUGAUGGAGUCCCCCACCUUCCCCAGCCUUCCUGUUCCCGGGCUGGUUACGGCGGCGAAGGGAGACCUUGCCUCUCCCCAGCCUUGGAAGCAGAGGGCUGGAGGUGGCCUUAUGUCCACUGCCUGCGACUCUGGACUUGAAGGGAAGAAGUAAUCGAUCAUGAUGACCGUGAAAGAAACACGUCUCCCUUCAUCCCAGGACCCCUGGUGGACACUGGGUGGUUUAGCAUCCGGACUAUGGAGAUGCUUUGGAGGUGUUGGCAGGACUACGGUUGAGCCCUUAUUUGAUAUUUACCGAUUGAGAAAGAACCAAGAUUAAGAGGCCUGGAACUCAUCAGGGGUAUUUUAUUUAUCCUGCCUUUUCCUCAUUUCCUCUCCUGCUGUCAUGCUUGUUUAUUGAGCACCUACUGUUUAUGGGAAGAAAAGAUAAUAGACAAGAUACUUGACCUCAAACCCAUGAAAAUUUAAUAGUUACAUGUCAUCAUCCUCGGGCCAGCAGCGGUAUGUGUUCUGGUCUUGCUUCCUGGACCACCCAGAAGAGACUUUAUAGCCCCAGCCAUCAGGGGUAUAGUGUGUGCCCAGUGUGUUUUCUAUCCCUGGCUUCCAAAAAGUCCUGGAAGAAAGAAUAGGUGUGACCAGAAAGUCCUUCACCUCCGGAAUCUAAGUGGAUAUGAAAUGUGGACAUGAGAGGGGCACAGAGGAAGACUACCUGAAGACACACAGAGAGAAGGUGACCACGUGGUUGGAGUGGAGCAUCUACAAACCAACACACAUACCAAGGAUUGCUGGCAAGUAUCACCAGAAGCUAGAAGAGGCAAGAAAGGAUUCUCCCCAAAGCUGUCAGCAAAAACACAGCACUGAUGGUACCUUGAUUUCAGACUUUUAGCCCCGAAACUGUGAGAGAGUAAAUUUCUGUUGUUUUAGGUGACCUGUUUUUUGGAAUUUGUUAUGUCAACUGUAGGAAAUGGAUAUUGUACAACGAUUGGGGCAUGACUUUGCAAUGGUUUACCUGCUCUCAGAUGAAAAUUUUUUUUUUUUGUUUUUUUUUUAGAUGGAGUCUUGCUCUGUUGCCCAGGCCAGAGUGUAGUGGUGCCAUCUUGGCUCACUGCAACCUCUACCUCCCGGGUUCAAGCGAUUCUCCUGCCUCAGCCUCCCGAGUAGCUGGGACCACAGCACACCACCAGGCCUGGUGAAUUUUUGUAUUUUUAGUAGAGAAAGGGUUUCACCAUGUUGGCCAGGCUGGUCUCAAACUCCUGACCUCAAGUGAUCUGCUCGCCUCAGCUUCCCAAAGUGCUGGGAUUACAGGUGUGGGCCACCACACCCUGUCUCAGAUGAAAGGUUAAUAUAAUUAAGGAACAUCUUUUUUGUUUUUUUUUUCAGAAAUUGGAAUGGGGGAGUAGCUGAACAGAAAAGUCCAUCUUGUUCAAUUCCCACAAGAACAUUUCUUUGCAAUAUUAUUGGCAGGAAUAUGCAGUAAAGUUCUAAUAACUAUUUACUCCUUUCUUUGAAACUCUAUUCAGUUAUAAUGUGUCCUGUAAAAAGUAUGACACUGAUUUCAUAGUACCAAUUUUAGCCUAAUACAUAUUUAAAUGAUUCCCAAUGUAUAAAGAUAUUUUAGUAAUAAGAAAUUAUUUAAGGAUCCCAAACAUCACAAUAAACAUAAAGCCUAGUUUUAGGUUGCAAAAAAGUAUCAAACUUUAUAAGUUUUAGUGCAAAUUAAGAGAAAUUACAUUCUAACUACACUAAUAACUGAAAACUUCAUAUUAGGCAAAUAAUGUCUUCAACUACUCAAAUUAUAGGAGCCCACUUCAAGAACCUCAGUAAGAAGAAAUUUUGAAUGGUUUAAAAAUAAUAAAUGCCAUGACAUUUUAAAUGGAAAUUUGGCAUAUUUUUGAGAUAAAUAUGAUUGGAUACAUGUGUGUGCCAUUCUUUUAUCUCUUCUUACUUUUACUGUAUCUCUACUUUAAUGAUGACAAUAAUAUGGCUACAGACAUGAAAUGGUUUAUCUUUCUUCUUUUCUUUCACUCUUUCAUUUAAAGCAUUUAUAUUAUUUUUUAUUGAUGUCAAUGUUAACAUUUUGGCAUCCUUCCCAAGUAUAUUGCAAGAAAUACAUCAAUAAAAACUUAAAUUUAAAAAAUAUGUAGUCUGGGGCCAGAUAAUAAUGGCAUAUUUCUUUAAAAUUAGGUAUAAAGGAGUACAGACGAGGUCAAAAUUCUAAAAUUGGAAUCUUGCCAUUAACAAACAGAACUGACAUUCUGAUACUUCUAUCUGCUGUGGACGUGACACAGAGACUUACCAAAGCCAAGAUACAUUUAUUCAAGGAGGAGCAACUUGCCUUUAUACUUAUACCUUUGUUAAUAACUUGUUUAAAGCAAUCCUUUGUUUUCUUUGCAUAUUUGAAUUGAUUUGCUAAAAGUUAUCUACUGUUAAAUAAGCAAAACUCAAAAUUUUCAAGCAUAUGGGACUUGUUCAGAAUCAGUUUUUAGUUUCUUUUUCAGGAUUUUGUACAAGUUGCAAGAGAAGAGACACAAAAUUAUCUUAUUAAUUCUAUUGCAAUAUGGAGAUACAUUUUAAACAAAUGGAAAUAAUCAAUAUUAGUAUUAUCUGUAUAUUUGUGUGUGUGUGUGUUGAUCUGACUAUAUUUUUCUUCAAAGGGAAAUCACAAAGGCCAAGUGUGUUUAUCAGGUAACUCACCUUAAGAAAACUUGUACUAUGUGAAAAGUCAAUUUCUUUAAAAACUGUCACCAACUCAACCCUGGUUUGUAAGUAGAAAAAACUAUCAAUUAUUUUUUAACAAUAGUAAUACUCCCAAGGUAUAUACUUCUGCCACAAAAAAUUAAGAAUAGUUUACUUAGCACGUUUUGUCAUUGUGGAAAUCAUUGAGAAAAAUCACAGUGGAAAGUUAUUUGAAAAGGCAUAACUGUCAUUAGAAAGAAAUUAAGAAUAAAGAAGGCAGGCCUGGCGUGGUGGCUCAUGCCUGUAAUCCCAGCACUUUGGGAGGCUGAGGUGGGUGGAUCUCCUGAGGUCGGGAGUUCAAGACCAGCCUGACUAACAUGGAGAAACCCCAUCUCUACUAAAAAUACAAAAUUAGCCGGGGUGGUGGCACAUGCCUGUAAUCCCAGCUACUCGGGAGGCUGAGGCAGGAGAAUUGCUUGAACCCAGGAGAUGGAGGUUGCGGUGAGCUGAGAUGGUGCCAUUGCACUCCAGCCUGGGCAAAAAGAGUGAAACUCCACCUAAAAAAAAAAUAAAAAUAAUAAAAAAAUAAAGCAGUAAAAAC